rnacentral:rRNA from 1 species
GCAGGCUUAAUACAUGCAAGUCGAACGGUAACAGGCCUUCGGGUGCUGACGAGUGGCGGAUGGGUGAGUAACGCGUAUGCAACCUACCUCGUGUCGAGAAAAAGUCGACUGAAAAGUCGAUUAAAGUUUCGUAGUGUACAGGCUACGCAUGUAGCUUGUAUGAUAGGCGCAAGUUGGCGCGAGAUGGGCAUGCGUAUCAUUAGCUAGUUGGUAGGGUAACGGCCUACCAAGGCGACGAUGAUUAGGGGUCCUGAGAGGGAGGUCCCCCACACUGGGACUGAGACACGGCCCAGACUCCUACGGGAGGCAGCAGUAGGGAAUAUUGGUCAAUGGGCGGAAGCCUGAACCAGCCAUGCCGCGUGAUGGACGACGGCCUUCGGG